UACGAAGGGGGCUAACGUUGCUCGGAAUCACUGGGCGUAAAGGGUGCGUAGGCGGGUCUUUUAAGUCAGGGGUGAAAUCCUGGAGCUCAACUCCAGAACUGCCUUUGAUACUGAAGAUCUUGAGUUCGGGAGAGGUGAGUGGAACUGCGAGUGUAGAGGUGAAAUUCGUAGAUAUUCGCAAGAACACCAGUGGCGAAGGCGGCUCACUGGCCCGAUACUGACGCUGAGGCACGAAAGCGUGGGGAGCGAACAGG
rnacentral:rRNA from 1 species